rnacentral:rRNA from 1 species
UACGGAGGGUGCAAGCGUUAAUCGGAAUUACUGGGCGUAAAGCGUGCGUAGGCGGUUCGUUAAGUCUGUUGUGAAAUCCCCGAGCUCAACUUGGGAAUUGCAAUGGAUACUGGCAGGCUGGAGUAUGGUAGAGGAAGGUGGAAUUCCCGGUGUAGCAGUGAAAUGCGUAGAGAUCGGGAGGAACACCAGUGGCGAAGGCGGCCUCUGGACCAAUACUGACGCUCAUGCACGAAAGCGUGGGGAGCAAACAGG